UACUUAGCGAAUUGUGAUUUCUCAAUUUCCUGGAAUCUACAUUCAUCUAAAGAUGCUUCAAUUUGUGUUUCUAGUUUUCAAUUGAUCUGCUGGAUGUUGAUAUGAUCUUGUUUCAUAACGAUUCUGCGAAUAUCUCUAUAUAUAGAUCUUGCUUCAUCACAUGAUUCUGCGAUUUUCUCAAAAUUUCUUAGCACAAUCUGAUUAUAUAGAUCUUGCUUUAUCAAAAGAUUCUGUGGUUUUCUCAUAAUUUCUUAGCAUAAUGGGAUGAUAUAGAUCUUUUACUCUCUCAAUUUUCCUGGAAAAUGCUGUUGUGGUUAUAUCUGCUUUACUCGAAUCCAUGGCUGCUUCUUUCAUCACGAUUCUGUGAAUUUUGAGAAAACAAAAAAAA
rnacentral:lncRNA from 1 species